GACGAACGCUGGCGGCGUGCUUAACACAUGCGAGUCGAACGGAAAGGCCCUGCUUUUGUGGGGUGCUCGAGUGGCGAACGGGUGAGUAACACGUGAGUAACCUGCCCUUGACUUUGGGAUAACUUCAGGAAACUGGGGCUAAUACCGGAUAGGAGCUCCUGCUGCAUGGUGGGGGUUGGAAAGUUUCGGCGGUUGGGGAUGGACUCGCGGCUUAUCAGCUUGUUGGUGGGGUAGUGGCUUACCAAGGCUUUGACGGGUAGCCGGCCUGAGAGGGUGACCAGCCACAUUGGGACUGAGAUACGGCCCAGACUCCUACGGGAGGCAGCAGUGGGGAAUAUUGCACAAUGGGCGGAAGCCUGAUGCAGCAACGCCGCGUGCGGGAUGACGGCCUUCGGGUUGUAAACCGCUUUCGCCUGUGACGAAGCGUGGGUGACGGUAAUGGGUAAAGAAGCACCGGCUAACUACGUG
rnacentral:rRNA from 1 species